rnacentral:lncRNA from 1 species
UCUUGGGCUGAAAUCAAAGACUAAGUCGUAAUUAACUUGCAUAAUGGAAAAUCCUAAUUAAAACUUAGGCUAAAAUAAAUAUGAAAUAACAAUGUAGCUCCUAAUUUAAAUCAUUUAAAUGGUGCAACCAGCUUGGUCUUGAGUUAGCUUGGUUUCCAAAUGGCUGUGUGAUCCUUGAUUGAUCAAUGGUUGAUCUCUAACUUCCUUGCUUGGCCGAAUUUCUAUGAUAGGAUUUGACUAAGUCACUUGCCAAAUUUGAAUUCUCAAAUCUAUCUUUGUUGAUGCUCAUUUGUUUGGAAAGAUUAUGUUUGUUGUGGCUGAUUGGUUUAUAAGAUUAUGUUUGUUGGCAAAAACAAAUCUUAUCUUUACUUCAUUCCUUGAUUGUAGCCGUCCACAACAUAAUUCUAUCUUCACUUGAUCCCUUGCUUGUAGCCUUGAAUUGGAUCAGAUUUGAAAGAUCUAAUCUUUAUAAUUAUCUUCAAAUAACUUGUUUUCUCCAUGCCUUAUCUCCUUGUUGCCUUAGAGAUAGAGUUCCUUCACGCCCUCUACCAUGUAAGAAAAUGAUCAUGCCUUAAUUUCAUUGCUCUAGCCACGUGAAAACAAAGGUCUAGCCAUGUUGCCUUGUCCUAGCUUACCCUUGAGCCUAAGUGAACUACUUGGUCCGAAUAUGGACCAUGUUAUAAAUAAAUUCCCAACCCAAAUUACAUGAAUUAAAUACUAACAUUUUUGACAUCAAAUAAACUAAACUCCUAAGACUAUAUGAGAAUGCAAUCUCAUUUAUUUGAUUCAAUGGAAAUAAAAUAAACCUAAGUAGAAAGUAACCUAAGGACAUAAAUGUCCUUCCUUCAUGUAAUCUUCAGAGUCAAUUGAAUCUUUU